rnacentral:rRNA from 1 species
AGUGAACGCUGGCGGCGUGCCUAAUACAUGCAAGUCGAACGGAGUGGCGCACGGGUGAGUAAUAUAUAGCUAAUCUGCCCCUUGCUGGAGGACAACAGUUAGAAAUGACUGCUAAUACCCCAUAGCAAGGGAUGAGUCUAUAUCGUAUCCUCUCGUCGGUGGGGUAACGGCCUACCGAGGCUAUGACGCGUAACUGGUCUGCGAGGAUGAUCAGUCACAUUGUAACGGAGACACGGUCCAAACGCCUGCGGGAGGAAGCAGUAGGGAAUAUUGCGAAAUGGGAGAAACCCUGACGCAGCAACGCCGCGUGGAGGAUGACACUUUUCGGAGCGUAAACUCCUUUUGAUAGGGAAGCGGUACCUAACGAAUAAGCACCGGCUAACUCCGGGCCAGCAGCCGCGGUAAUUC